rnacentral:rRNA from 1 species
AUUGAACGCUGGCGGAAUGCUUUACACAUGCAAGUCGAACGGCAGCACGGGGGCAACCCUGGUGGCGAGUGGCGAACGGGUGAGUAAUACAUCGGAACGUGCCCAGUCGUGGGGGAUAACGCAGCGAAAGCUGUGCUAAUACCGCAUACGAUCUAAGGAUGAAAGCGGGGGACCGAAAGGCCUCGCGCGAUUGGAGCGGCCGAUGGCAGAUUAGGUAGUUGGUGGGGUAAAGGCNCACCAAGCCGACGAUCUGUAGCUGGUCUGAGAGGACGACCAGCCACACUGGGACUGAGACACGGCCCAGACUCCUACGGGAGGCAGCAGUGGGGAAUUUUGGACAAUGGGCGCAAGCCUGAUCCAGCCAUUCCGCGUGCAGGAUGAAGGCCCUCGGGUUGUAAACUGCUUUUGUACGG